AGUGGGAUAACUGGGUCAAAUGGUGGGUCCAUUCCAAGUUUUCUGAGGAAUCUCCAAACUGCUUUCAAUAGUUGCACCAAUUUGCAGUCCCACCAGCAAU
rnacentral:pre_miRNA from 1 species